rnacentral:rRNA from 1 species
AUGGGCGCAAGCCUGAUGCAGCGACGCCGCGUGAGGGAUGACGGCCUUCGGGUUGUAAACCUCUUUCAGUAGGGAAGAAGCGAAAGUGACGGUACCUGCAGAAGAAGCGCCGGCUAACUACGUGCCAGCAGCCGCGGUAAUACGUAGGGCGCAAGCGUUGUCCGGAAUUAUUGGGCGUAAAGAGCUUGUAGGUGGCUUGUCGCGUCUGCCGUGAAAAUCCAGGGCUUAACUCUGGACGUGCGGUGGGUACGGGCAGGCUAGAGUGUGGUAGGGGAGACUGGAAUUCCUGGUGUAGCGGUGAAAUGCGCAGAUAUCAGGAGGAACACCGAUGGCGAAGGCAGGUCUCUGGGCCAUUACUGACGCUGAGAAGCGAAAGCAUGGGGAGCGAACAGGAUUAGAUACCCUGGUAGUCCAUGCCGUAAACGUUGGGCACUAGGUGUGGGGACCAUUCCACGGUUUCCGCGCCGUAGCUAACGCAUUAAGUGCCCCGCCUGGGGAGUACGGUCGCAAGGCUAAAACUCAAAGGAAUUGACGGGGGCC